UAUGUAGAUUUUUCAGAAAAUUUAGUUGAGAAUGGAUGGCAGUUAAGGAUGUUAAAACACCUUUUUGGUAUGUGAAUUGGCCUUUAUAACGAUGACUUUGCUCAACAAAGGGAAACAACUAUUGGGAAACUCGGAAAUUGCGUAUUGCUGCAACAUGUGAUGUACAUUGAGACCUAUAGUCACGAACAAUCUCUUUCAAGAACAGUUUGGGCAGAGGAUGCAAGGAAAUCGGGAUGUCAGAUAAACAAGUUGUUGAAGCAAACAUCGUUUGUAAUACUUCUUUGAAAAAUAAAAACAUAACUGAA